GCGCGAAAACUUUACAAUGCUGGCAACAGCGAUAAGGGAACCUCGAGUGCCAGGUUACAAAUCUGGCUGUCGAGAUGCCUAAAAAGCAUUUCAUAGCAAGGGCCGGGCAAGACCGGUGCCAGCCGCCGCGGUAACACCGGCGGCUCGAGUGGUAACCGUUAUUAUUGGGUCUAAAGGGUCUGUAGCCGGCCGGAUAAGUCUCUUGAGAAAUCUGGCAGCUUAACUGUCAGGCUUUCAGGAGAUACUGUCUGGCUCGAGGCCGGGAGAGGUGAGAUGUACUUCAGGGGUAGGGGUGAAAUCUUGUAAUCCUUGGAGGACCACCAGUGGCGAGAGCGUCUCACCAGAACGGACCUGACGGCAAGGUACGAAAGCUAGGGGCACGAACCG
rnacentral:rRNA from 1 species